CAGGCAUGCUGGAGCCCCGCAGCGGCGCCUGGGCGCGUCAAUACCGGCGCCCGACACCGUCACUCAAACCGGGGCUUAA
rfam:Ensifer sp. LCM 4579 contig_12, whole genome shotgun sequence.